rnacentral:rRNA from 1 species
UAGGGAAUAUUGGACAAUGGGGGCAACCCUGAUCCAGCCAUGCCGCGUGAGUGAAGAGGGCCCUCGGGUUGUAAAGCUCUUUUGUCCGGAAAGAAAAGCAUUCGGUGAAUACCCGGAUGUUCUGACGGUACCGGAAGAAUAAGCACCGGCUAACUUCGUGCCAGCAGCCGCGGUAAUACGCAGGGUGCAAGCGUUACUCGGAAUUACUGGGCGUAAAGCGUGCGUAGGUGGUUGUUUAAGGCUGAUGUGAAAGCCCUGGGCUCAACCUGGGAAUGGCAGUUGAGUCUGGGCAGCUAGAGUGCGGUAGAGGGUAGUGGAAUUCCCGGUGUAGCAGUGAAAUGCGUAGAGUUCGGGAGGAACAUCUGUGGCGAAGGCGACUGCCUGGACCAGCACUGACACUUCGGCACGAAAGCGUGGGGAG